rnacentral:rRNA from 1 species
AGAAAGUGGUCUUCGGACCGCAAGUAGAGUGGCGCACGGGUGAGUAACGCGUAGGUAAUCUACCCCUUAUACCUGGGAUAACAUUGGAAAACUGGUGCUAAUACCGGAUACACUUUACUGCUGCGGGGCAGUAGAGGAAAGGUGGCCUCUUCAAGAAAGCUACCGUAUAGGGAUGAGCCUGCGUACCAUUAGCUAGUAGGUGGGGUAACGGCCCACCUAGGCGACGAUGGUUAGCGGGUCUGAGAGGAUGAUCCGCCACACUGGAACUGGAACACGGACCAGACUCCUACGGGAGGCAGCAGUGAGGAAUAUUGCGCAAUGGGGGAAACCCUGACGCAGCGACGCCGCGUGAGUGAGGAAGGCCUUCGGGUCGUAAAGCUCUGUCAGAAGGGAAGAAGUGUUAGAUGGUUAAUACCCAUGUAAUUUGACGGUACCUUCAGAGGAAGCACCGGCUAACUCCGUGCCAGCAGCCGCGGUAAUACGGAGGGUGCUAGCGUUGUUCGGAAUUACUGGGCGUAAAGGGCGCGUAGGCGGCUGGAUAAGUCAGAUGUGAAAUCCCACGGCUUAACUGUGGAAGUGCAUUUGAAACUGUCCGGCUUGAGUAUCGGAGGGGAGUGUGGAAUUCCCGGUGUAGAGGUGAAAUUCGUAGAGAUCGGGAGGAACACCGGUGGCGAAGGCGACACUCUGGACGAAUACUGACGCUGAGGCGCGAAAGCGUGGGGAGCAAACAGGAUUAGAUACCCUGGUAGUCCACGCCGUAAACGAUGUGAACUAGAGGUAGGUGGUGUUGAUCCCAUCUGU